rnacentral:rRNA from 1 species
UACGUAGGGUGCGAGCGUUAAUCGGAAUUACUGGGCGUAAAGCGUGCGCAGGCGGUUCGUUGUGUCGGCGGUGAAAGCCCCGGGCUUAACCUGGGAAUGGCCGUUGAAACUGGCGAGCUGGAGUGUGGCAGAGGGGGGUGGAAUUCCGCGUGUAGCAGUGAAAUGCGUAGAGAUGCGGAGGAACACCGAUGGCGAAGGCAGCCCCCCUGGGCCAACACUGACGCUCAGGCACGAAAGCGUGGGGAGCAAACAGG